AAACUUUAUCUGGAAACACUGAAGGUGCCUUCAUUAGCAGAACUGCACAGCCGCCUCUGAAAAGCUUCCACCCACAAAUAAAAUGGUUCCAAAAAGAAGAUGUCGUCAUCUUAAAGAUAAGAAUAAGGAAUGUAAAGGACUACAAGUGUCAGUAUUUAAGGGAUAGAGUCGUUUUCAGUGCUUGGGUGGGAGACAAAUUUUACCUGGCUGAUCUGGAGCUGCGGGGCAACAUAAGGAAAGAUGACUGCCAAUGUGUGAUUAGAAACGAUGAACCUGUAAUCACUCUGGCCAAAGAGAGAAGGGAGGCAUGGUGUCACCUACUCAGACAGAGGAACCCCAACGUGGCUUUUGAUUUUGAUCACUGGGAAGACUGUGAAGAGGACAGCCACUUCCCCAAGGUAGUGAAUUCUAAAAACCUGCCGUACACAGUGACAGAGGUGGUUGAAGACAGUAGCAGCACUUCAGAGGAUGACGACAGUGAGAGUGAAAGAGAAGGUGAAUGA
rnacentral:lncRNA from 1 species